rnacentral:tRNA from 1 species
GCCGCCGUGGCUUAGCCCGGUAAAGCGGCUGAUUCGUAAGGCAGACGACCCGAUAUAUCAGCAGGUCAUGGGUUCGAAUCCCAUCGGCGGCU